UUGCGUAGAGCACGGCGAAACGAGUUCGUAGACAUGGAGUAGACCCGAACCGGAGUUGUAAUGAAGAAGUUACGGUCAAAAUACUCACGAGGGCAAAAUGGAAAUUUUGGGAGAUCAUUUUUUUUAAAUCUGUUUUCUUCUCUCACUCUCUCAUUCUCUCACUCUCUCUCUCUCUCUCUCCCUCUCUCUCUCCCUCCCGAUAGUUCAGAAAAACCAGAAGGGCAGCCACCUUCCAAGCCACCCCGACCCUCCGGAACGGACCCAGCAGCACCGGCCAGCUCCCGCCAGCAACCUCAGCCCGUCCGCCGCCCCUGCUGGAGCCGCUGGAAACUGCUGGAAAACGCAGCAGUUUUGGCCGAUUUUCCAACCUCAGUUUCUCCCUCAUCCGGACACCAAAUCAGUCGUGUGAGGCACCAGAAGUCCAGCUAAUCCACAGGAGGGACCUCCAAGAGGUCCAGCUAGCUCGGACCAGCAGCCGUAGAAGAACGAAGGAAACCACUCGGGCCAUCAUCCUAGUUUCCGACCCACCACCAAAGUGUAGGAGUUCGUUGUAACUCUUUUGUAAAUCCUGUAAAUUUGUAUAGAAAUGCUCUGAGAACUUGUGGAACAUAAGGAACUGGUAGGAUUUUUGAGACUGUUUGACAGGUGGAAGACUUUGUGUUUGGUCAAAAUACAGGGUAGACUCUGCCGGAUUUUCGGCAGAAGUCGAAAGUAAAUUUUAAGAAAUUUGUUUAA